rnacentral:tRNA from 2 species
UGGCACAUAGCUCAGCGGUAGAGCACUACCUUGACACGGUAGGGGUCCCCGGUUCGAUCCCGGGUGUGCCAA